CACGUAGGGGGCAAGCGUUGUCCGGAUUUAUUGGGCGUAAAGAGCUCGUAGGCGGUUUGGUAAGUCGGGUGUGAAAACUCUGGGCUCAACUCAGAGACGCCACCCGAUACUGCUAUGACUUGAGUCCGGUAGGGGAGUAUGGAAUUUCCGGUGUAGCGGUGAAAUGCGCAGAUAUCAGGAGGAACACCGGUGGCGAAGGCGGGUCUCUGGGCCGAUAUUGACGCUGAGGAGCGAAAGCGUGGGGAGCGAACAGG
rnacentral:rRNA from 1 species